AUGCAAGUCGAGCGAACUGAUUAGAAGCUUGCUUCUAUGACGUAGCGGCGGACGGGUGAGUAACACGUGGGCAACCUGCCUGUAAGACUGGGAUAACUCCGGGAAACCGGAGCUAAUACCGGAUAACAUUUUCUCUUGCAUAAGAGAAAAUUGAAAGAUGGUUUCGGCUAUCACUUACAGAUGGGCCCGCGGUGCAUUAGCUAGUUGGUGAGGUAACGGCUCACCAAGGCAACGAUGCAUAGCCGACCUGAGAGGGUGAUCGGCCACACUGGGACUGAGACACGGCCCAGACUCCUACGGGAGGCAGCAGUAGGGAAUCUUCCGCAAUGGACGAAAGUCUGACGGAGCAACGCCGCGUGAGUGAUGAAGGCUUUCGGGUCGUAAAACUCUGUUGUUAGGGAAGAACAAGUACAAGAGUAACUGCUUGUACCUUGACGGUACCUAACCAGAAAGCCACGGCUAACUACGUGCCAGCAGCCGCGGUAAUACGUAGGUGGCAAGCGUUAUCCGGAAUUAUUGGGCGUAAAGCGCGCGCAGGCGGUUUCUUAAGUCUGAUGUGAAAGCCCACGGCUCAACCGUGGAGGGUCAUUGGAAACUGGGGAACUUGAGUGCAGAAGAGAAAAGCGGAAUUCCACGUGUAGCGGUGAAAUGCGUAGAGAUGUGGAGGAACACCAGUGGCGAAGGCGGCUUUUUGGUCUGUAACUGACGUGAGCGCGAACUGGGAGCAAACAGGAUUAGAUACCCUGGUAGUCCACGCCGUAAACGAUGAGUGCUAAGUGUUAGAGGGUUUCCGCCCUUUAGUGCUGCAGCUAACGCAUUAAGCACUCCGCCUGGGGGAGUACGGUCGCAAGACUGAAACUCAAGGAAUUGACGGGGCCCGCACAAGCGUGGAGCAUGUGUUUAAUUCGAAGCAACGCGAGACUACAGUCUGACAUCUCUGACACUCUGAGAUAGAGCGUCCCUCGGCGACGAGUGACAGUGUUGCAUGUGUCGUCAGCUCGUGUCAUGAGAUGGUGGAUUAGUCCGCACUGAACGCACGUGAUCUA
rnacentral:rRNA from 1 species